rnacentral:misc_RNA from 1 species
GAAAUGCGAUAAGUAAUGCGAAUUGCAGAAUUCAGUGAGUCAUCGAAUCUUUGAACGCACAUUGCGCCCCGCGGCAUUCCGCGGGGCAUGCCUGUCCGAGCGUCAUUUCAACCCUCAAGCGCGGCUUGGUGUUGGGCGCGGCCCGCGCGGCCGGCCCCAAAGGCAGUGGCGGCGCCGCCGGCCCCGAAGCGUAGUACGACUCUCGCUCCCGGGUCCCGCGGUGGCCUGCCAGAACCCCCGACUCUGUGGUUGACCUCGGAUCAGGUAGGAAUACCCGCUGAACUUAA